rnacentral:rRNA from 1 species
AGUGAACGCUGGCGGUAGGCCUAACACAUGCAAGUCGAACGGCAGCACAGUAAGAGCUUGCUCUUACGGGUGGCGAGUGGCGGACGGGUGAGGAAUACAUCGGAAUCUACUUUUUCGUGGGGGAUAACGUAGGGAAACUUACGCUAAUACCGCAUACGACCUACGGGUGAAAGCAGGGGAUCUUCGGACCUUGCGCGAUUGAAUGAGCCGAUGUCGGAUUAGCUAGUUGGCGGGGUAAAGGCCCACCAAGGCGACGAUCCGUAGCUGGUCUGAGAGGAUGGUCCGCCACACUGGAACUGAGACACGGUCCAGACUCCGACGGGAGGCAGCAGUGGGGAAUAUUGGACAAUGGGCGAAAGCCUGAUCCAGCCAUACCGCGUGGGUGAAGAAGGACUUCGGGUUGUAGAGCGAUUUUGUUGGGAAAGAAAAGCAGCAGGUUAAUACCCGGCUGUUCUGACGGUACCCAAAGAAUAAGCACCGGCUAACUUCGUG